rnacentral:misc_RNA from 1 species
GUUAUUGGAUUUUUGUUGAUUCUAAUGAUUUUGAUCUUCUUGUGUCAAAGAAAGAGAACCAAACAAGGAGUUCCUAAAGAUACUCGGGAGCCAAAGCAAAGCGAAAUUGAAAUUUCCCGCGAUAAGGCAGUGGUUGACAGGGAUAAUGCAAGCACUGGGUUUGCCGGAGCAGCUGCGGUGGCCAAAAGUGAAGCUAAGAGUGGUGGUGGGAAUAAAAGUUUGGUGUUCUUUGGGAACACACCAAGGGUGUUUGAUUUGGAGGACUUGUUGAGAGCUUCUGCCGAAGUGCUUGGGAAGGGGACUUUUGG